CGGCGGACGGGUGAGUAACACGUGACUGCCCUGUAGAUUGGGAUAACUCCGGGAAACCGGGGCUAAUACCGAAUAAUCCACCAGACCACAUGGUCCGGUGUUGAAAGGCGGCUUCGGCUGUCACUACAGGAUGGGCCCGCGGCGCAUUACUAUUGGUGGGGUAACGGCCACCAAGGCGACGAUGCGUACCGACCUGAAGGGUGAUCGGCACACUGGUACUGAACACGGACCAGACUCCUACGGGAGGCAGCAGUGAGGAAUAUUGGACAAUGGGUGAGAGCCUGAUCCAGCCAUCCCGCGUGAAGGACGACUGCCCUAUGGGUUGUAAACUUCUUUUGUAUAGGGAUAAACCUACCCUCGUGAGGGUAGCUGAAGGUACUAUACGAAUAACACCGGCUAACUCCGUGCCACAGCGCGGUAAUACGGAGGGUUGCAAGCGUUAUCCGGGAUUUAUUGGGGUUUAAAGGGGUCCGGUAGGGCGGGAUCUUGGUAAGUCAGUGGGUGGAAAUCUUCAACAGGUUUAAAUUGGUGGAAAAUUGCCAUUGAUACUUGGAGGGUCUGGGGGUGUUGUGAAAGUAAGCUUGGGAAAUUAAGUUAGUG
rnacentral:rRNA from 1 species